UAGGGAAUUUUCGUCAAUGGCGCAAGCCUGAACGAGCGAUGCCGCGUGAGUGAAGAAGGCCUCGGGUCGUAAAGCUCUGUUGCGGGGGAAAAAAGGCAGCAUCAGGAAAUGGGUGCUGACUGAUGGUGCCCCGCCAGAAAGUCACGGCUAACUACGUGCC
rnacentral:rRNA from 1 species